GAAAAAAAAAACGAAAAAAAAAAGAAAUAAUAAUAAUAAUUUUUUACAAAUAAAUAAAUAAAUAAAAUAAAAUAAAAUAAAAUAAAAUAUAAUAGAAAAAACUUGGACUUGGACCUCUCUCAUUUGAGCCCACAAAGCCAUGAAAAACAGGUUAUAAAAGAGGGAGAUCAGACAGAAAAAGGAAGAGAAGCAAAAACACUCUGAGGUUUCCUUGGAACAAAACCCUGGACAAAAC
rnacentral:lncRNA from 1 species